UACGGGGGGGGCAAGCGUUGUUCGGAAUUACUGGGCGUAAAGGGCUCGUAGGCGGCCAACUAAGUCAGACGUGAAAUCCCUCGGCUUAACCGGGGAACUGCGUCUGAUACUGGAUGGCUUGAGUGUGGGAGAGGGAUGCGGAAUUCCAGGUGUAGCGGUGAAAUGCGUAGAUAUCUGGAGGAACAUCAGUGGCGAAGGCGGCUUUCUGGCCCAACACUGACGCUGAGGUGCGAAAGCGUGGGGAGCAAACAGG
rnacentral:rRNA from 1 species